AGCGAACGCUGGCGGCAGGCCUAACACAUGCAAGUCGAACGAACCUUUCGGGGUUAGUGGCGGACGGGUGAGUAACACGUGGGAACGUGCCUUUAGGUUCGGAAUAACUCAGGGAAACUUGUGCUAAUACCGAAUGUGCCCUUCGGGGGAAAGAUUUAUCGCCUUUAGAGCGGCCCGCGUCUGAUUAGCUAGUUGGUUGAGGUAAUGGCUCACCAAGGCGACGAUCAGCAGCUGGUCUGAGAGGAUGAUCAGCCACAUUGGGACUGAGACACGGCCCAAACUCCUACGGGAGGCAGCAGUGGGGAAUCUUGCGCAAUGGGCGAAAGCCUGACGCAGCCAUGCCGCGUGAAUGAUGAAGGUCUUAGGAUUGUAAAAUUCUUUCACCGGGGACGAUAAUGACGGUACCCGGAGAAGAAGCCCCGGCUAACUUCGUG
rnacentral:rRNA from 1 species